GGUUAAGUUAAUAAGGGCGCACGGUGGAUGCCUUGGCGCUAGAAGCCGAUGAAGGACGUGACUAACGACGAAAUGCUUUGGGGAGCUGUAAGUGAGCAAUGAUCCAGAGAUGUCCGAAUGGGGGAACCCGGCAGGUAAUGCCUGUCACUCAUUACUGUUAAGGUAAUGUAGAGGAAGACGCAGUGAACUGAAACAUCUAAGUAGCUGUAGGAAGAGAAAGCAAAAGCGAUUGCCUUUGUAGUAGCGGCGAGCGAAACGGCAAGAGGGCAAACCGAAGAGUUUACUCUUCGGGGUUGUAGGACUGCAACGUGGACUUAAAGAUUAUAGAAGAACUACCUGGGAAGGUAGGCCAAAGAGAGUAAUAGCCUCGUAUUCGAAAUAGUCUUUAUACCUAGCAGUAUCCUGAGUACGGCGAGACACGAGAAAUCUCGUCGGAAUCUGGGAGGACCAUCUCCCAACCCUAAAUACUCUCUAGUGACCGAUAGUGAACCAGUACCGUGAGGGAAAGGUGAAAAGCACCCCGGGAGGGGAGAAAUAGAACCUGAAACCGUGUGCCUACAACAAGUUCGAGCCCGUUAAUGGGUGAGAGCGUGCCUUUGUAGAAUGAACCGGCGAGUUACGAUAUGAUGCGAGGUUAAGUUGAAGAGACGGAGCCGUAGGGAAACCGAGUCUUAAUAGGGCGCAUUAGUAUCAUGUCGUAGACCCGAAACCAUGUGACCUACCCAUGAGCAGGUUGAAGGUGAGGUAAAACUCACUGGAGGACCGAACCAGGGCACGUUGAAAAGUGCUUGGAUGACUUGUGGGUAGCGGAGAAAUUCCAAACGAACUUGGAGAUAGCUGGUUCUCUCCGAAAUAGCUUUAGGGCUAGCGUCGAUGUUAAGUCUCUUGGAGGUAGAGCACUGUUUGGGUGAGGGGUCCAUCCCGGAUUACCAAUCUCAGAUAAACUCCGAAUGCCAAUGAGAUAUAAUCGGCAGUCAGACUGCGAGUGCUAAGAUCCGUAGUCGAAAGGGAAACAGCCCAGACCACCAGCUAAGGUCCCAAAAUAUAUGUUAAGUGGAAAAGGAUGUGGGGUUGCACAGACAACUAGGAUGUUAGCUUAGAAGCAGCUAUUCAUUCAAAGAGUGCGUAAUAGCUCACUAGUCGAGUGACCCUGCGCCGAAAAUGUACCGGGGCUAAAACAUAUUACCGAAGCUGUGGAUACCUUUAUAGGUAUGGUAGGAGAGCGUUCUAUGUGCGAAGAAGGUGUACCGUGAGGAGUGCUGGAGCGCAUAGAAGUGAGAAUGCCGGUAUGAGUAGCGAAAGACAGGUGAGAAUCCUGUCCACCGUAAGACUAAGGUUUCCAGGGGAAGGCUCGUCCGCCCUGGGUUAGUCGGGACCUAAGGAGAGACCGAAAGGUGUAUCCGAUGGACAACAGGUUGAUAUUCCUGUACUAGAGUAUAUAGUGAUGGAGGGACGCAGUAGGCUAACUAAACCAGACGAUUGGAAGUGUCUGGCCAAGCAGUGAGGUGUGAUAUGAGUCAAAUGCUUAUAUCUUUAACAUUGAGCUGUGAUGGGGAGCGAAGUUUAGUAGCGAAGUUAGUGAUGUCACACUGCCGAGAAAAGCUUCUAGCGUUAAUUAUACUCUACCCGUACCGCAAACCGACACAGGUAGUCGAGGCGAGUAGCCUCAGGUGAGCGAGAGAACUCUCGUUAAGGAACUCGGCAAAAUGGCCCCGUAACUUCGGGAGAAGGGGCGCUGACUGAUGGUCAGCCGCAGUGUGAAUAGGCCCAAGCAACUGUUUAUCAAAAACACAGCUCUCUGCUAAAUCGUAAGAUGAUGUAUAGGGGGUGACGCCUGCCCGGUGCUGGAAGGUUAAGAGGAGUGCUUAGCGUAAGCGAAGGCAUGAAUUGAAGCCCCAGUAAACGGCGGCCGUAACUAUAACGGUCCUAAGGUAGCGAAAUUCCUUGUCGGGUAAGUUCCGACCCGCGCGAAAGGCGUAAUGAUUUGGGCACUGUCUCAACGAGAGACUCGGUGAAAUUUUAGUACCUGUGAAGAUGCAGGUUACCCGCGACAGGACGGAAAGACCCCAUGGAGCUUUACUGCAGUUUGAUAUUGAGUAUCUGUACCACAUGUACAGGAUAGGUAGGAGCCUAUGACCUCGGGACGCCAGUUUCGAGUGAGGCGUUGUUGGGAUACUACCCUUGUGUUAUGGCUACUCUAACCCAGAUAGGUUAUCCCUAUCGGAGACAGUGUCUGACGGGCAGUUUGACUGGGGCGGUCGCCUCCUAAAAGGUAACGGAGGCGCCCAAAGGUUCCCUCAGAAUGGUUGGAAAUCAUUCGCAGAGUGUAAAGGUAUAAGGGAGCUUGACUGCGAGAGCUACAACUCGAGCAGGGACGAAAGUCGGGCUUAGUGAUCCGGUGGUUCCGUAUGGAAGGGCCAUCGCUCAACGGAUAAAAGCUACCCUGGGGAUAACAGGCUUAUCUCCCCAAGAGUUCACAUCGACGGGGAGGUUUGGCACCUCGAUGUCGGCUCGUCGCAUCCUGGGGCUGUAGUCGGUCCCAAGGGUUGGGCUGUUCGCCCAUUAAAGCGGCACGCGAGCUGGGUUCAGAACGUCGUGAGACAGUUCGGUCCCUAUCCGUCGCGGGCGUAGGAAAUUUGAGAGGAUCUGCUCCUAGUACGAGAGGACCAGAGUGGACUUACCGCUGGUGUACCAGUUGUUCUGCCAAGAGCAUCGCUGGGUAGCUAUGUAGGGAAGGGAUAAACGCUGAAAGCAUCUAAGUGUGAAGCCCACCUCAAGAUGAGAUUUCCCAUGAUUUUAUAUCAGUAAGAGCCCUGAGAGAUGAUCAGGUUGAUAGGUUAGAAGUGGAAGUGUGGUGACACAUGUAGCGGACUAAUACUAAUAGCUCGAGGACUUAUCCAA
rnacentral:rRNA from 1 species